rnacentral:rRNA from 1 species
CUACAAAUGAAUUGACGGGGACCCGCACAAGCAGCGGAGCGUGUGGUUUAAUUCGUUGCUACACGAAGAACCUUACCUGGGUUUGACAUAUAGGUUGUAGGGAACUGAAAGGGACCGACCCUUCGGGGAGCCUAUACAGGUGUUGCAUGGCUGUCGUCAGCUCGUGUCGUGAGAUGUUCGGUUAAGUCCGCUAACGAGCGCAACCCUCGUCGUAUGUUAUAUGUGUCAUACGAGACUGCCGGUAAAAAGCCGGAGGAAGGUGAGGAUGAUGUCAAGUCAGCAUGACCUUUAUAUCCAGGGCUACACACACGCUACAAUGGUCUGUACAAUGGGUAGCCAAGCCGCGAGGCGGAGCCAAUCCUGAAAGCAGGCCUCAGUUCAGAUUGCAGUCUGCAACUCGACUGCAUGAAGCCGGAGUUGCUAGUAACCGCAGGUCAGCAAUACUGCGGUGAAUACGUUCCCGGGUCUU